UACGUAGGUGGCAAGCGUUUGUCCGGAUUUAUUGGGUUUAAAGGGUGCGUAGGCGGCCCCGUAAGUCAGUGCUGAAAUAUCCCGGCUUAACCGGGAGGGUGGCAUUGAUACUGCGAGGCUUGAGUAAAGUUGAGGUAGGCGGAAUUGACGGUGUAGCGGUGAAAUGCUUAGAUAUCGUCAAGAACACCGAUAGUGUAGACAGCUUACUAGCUUUAACUGACGCUGAGGCACGAAAGUGUGGGGAUCAAACAGG
rnacentral:rRNA from 1 species